GACAGAGGAUGCAAGCGUUAUCCGGAUUUAUUGGGCGUAAAGAGCGUGUAGGCGGUCAGGUAGGUCCGUUGUGAAAACUCGAGGCUCAACCUCGAGACGCCGAUGGAAACCAUCUGACUAGAGUCCGGAAGAGGAGAGUGGAAUUCCUGGUGUAGCGGUGAAAUGCGCAGAUAUCAGGAAGAACACCCGUGGCGAAGGCAGAUCUCUGGGCCGUAACUGACGCUGAGGAGCGAAAGCAUGGGGAGCGAACAGG
rnacentral:rRNA from 1 species